rnacentral:tmRNA from 1 species
GGGGUCGACUGGUUUUGACAGCAGGUUCCCAUGACGGAGUAAGCAGGUCGAGCGCUGAGACACAGCUCGUAAAUCAUAUGUUUCACACUUUAAAUGGCGAGAAUAACUACGCUCUAGCUGCAUAAUUGACUGAAUUACAGUAAGUCAUUGCCUAGUCCCGACCAGGUCGGGAAGCCGGAUGUCUCUCGAUAGCCCUUGUUGACGGCGAUCGAUAUUGAGGCACCAUAAAUGUCAACAUCGAAAUGCUAUAGCAUCGCUAGCGUUUUUCAAUAAAGAUGAUAAGGGUAUCUAGGGCGGUUUUCGGUCACUGAUACCUCGAAAAACAAACGAGAACUAAACCUGUAGAAAGCUCGGUUGUGACUUGUUUGGACGCGGGUUCGAUUCCCGCCGACUCCACU